rnacentral:rRNA from 1 species
UACGUAGGGUGCAAGCGUUGUCCGGAAUUAUUGGGCGUAAAGAGCUCGUAGGCGGUUUGUCGCGUCGAAUGUGAAAACCCGGGGCUCAACCCCGGGCCUGCAUUCGAUACGGGCAGACUAGAGUUCGGUAGGGGAGUCUGGGAUUCCUGGUGUAGCGGUGAAAUGCGCAGAUAUCAGGAGGAACACCGGUGGCGAAGGCGGGACUCUGGGCCGAUACUGACGCUGAGGAGCGAAGGUCAGGGGAGCAAACGGG